GACAGAGGGUGCGAACGUUGUUCGGAAUUACUGGGCGGAAAGCGCGUGUAGGCGGCAACGCAAGUCGGGCGUGAAAUCCCACGGCUCAACCGUGGAAGUGCACUCGAAACUGCGUAGCUAGAGUCCUGGAGAGGAAGGUGGAAUGCUUGGUGUAGAGGUGAAAUUCGUAGAUAUCAAGCGGAACACCGGUGGCGAAGGCGGCCUUCUGGACAGUGACUGACGCUGAGACGCGAAAGCGUGGGGAGCAAACAGG
rnacentral:rRNA from 1 species